CAAGGUCGCCCAGGUGAGAUGGGCAUGCCUGGACCACAAGGAUACAGAGGAUCGUCUGGUAUCCAGGGUAACAUUGGACCAUGGGGUGAGGUUGGGCCCCAUGGCCUUCCAGGUGACCAGGGGCCACAAGGUCCUGUUGGCCCGCUUGGAGUUACUGGUUACC